GCGCACGCCCACGCUGGAUCCUGACACGAUGCACGCGCGCCUGCGCCUGUCCGCCGACCGCCUGACGGUGCGCUGCGGCCUGCUGGGCAGCCUGGGGCCCGUGCCCGCGCUGCGGUUCGACGCGCUCUGGCAAGUGCUGGCUCGCGACUGCUUCGCCGCCGGCCGCCACUACUGGGAGGUUGACGUGCAGGAGGCGGGCGCCGGCUGGUGGGUGGGCGCGGCCUACGCCUCCCUUCGGCGCCGCGGGGCCUCGGCCGCCGCCCGCCUGGGCUGCAACCGCCAGUCCUGGUGCCUCAAGCGCUACGACCUUGAGUACUGGGCCUUCCACGACGGCCAGCGCAGCCGCCUGCGGCCCCGCGACGACCUCGACCGGCUCGGCGUCUUCCUGGACUACGAGGCCGGCGUCCUUGCCUUCUACGACGUGACGGGCGGCAUGAGCCACCUGCAUACCUUCCGCGCCACCUUCCAGGAGCCACUCUACCCGGCCCUGCGGCUCUGGGAGGGGGCCAUCAGCAUCCCCCGGCUGCCCUAGGGGCCAGGACCGGCGUGACAGCCUCCAGGCCAGAGUGACAUGCAUUACUGAAGAGAAACCUGAAGAAGCUGACGGGGUGGGAGCACAUUCAUUCAUCAUUUCAUCAGCCUGGCUCAGGGAGGGCUGGUCCUGACCAUCCCUCUCGGGCCAGCCCAUCCUUUUUCCGCACACGGCAGCAGAACCGAGUAGAGUCCGGCAGGACGCACCUUCUCAUUGCAGGCCAUCUCACAGGGCAGCAGCUGCUUGGUUGGGGAGCCCAGGGCACGCUCCACAAGACGCACUGACCGCACCAGCUCGGCCAGUUCUCCAGGCUCCAGCGAGGCCGAGUGGUCACUCCCCUUCCAGGUCUUGUCCAAAGUUAUGUGACGUUCCAACACCUUGGCCCCCAGAGCCACUGCGGCCACAGAUAUCGCUAUGCCUGUUUCAUGCCCAGAAUACCCUAUGGGAAU
rnacentral:sRNA from 1 species